ensembl:lncRNA LINC02350 long intergenic non-protein coding RNA 2350
GGACACAGGAGCAGCGGGGAUGCCGGGUGCGCUCCGAGGGUGUGGCCCCCGGGCUGUGCGGGGCUCAGAGCUGCUUGCUGGGCGCGGUGCCCGACAAAGCUCCAUUUCUGGCCUUUGGUCUCUUUCUCGGAAAGCAGGCCUCAGUGGCCUCAGUUUCUUCCCAGAACCUGCAAUGCCCCACCAAGGUGACAAGAAGUGCAAGGAGUCGGUUUUCACUGCCAACCAAAGAGGUGACCCCCGCAAAGCAACCAUGUUGGGACAGUCCAUUUGCUGCGUUUUGAUUAUUUGCUAAGAGCAAAUACCUUUUCUGUUUGGGUUUUGCUUUUAGAAAAAAAAUGUGGCAGAUGGUGGUGGCUUUCCCCGUCAUUGAAAGAAGAAAGGUAGUAACUCUACUGGUGCACUCCUCUGAGUUGUGCUAACAAAGAAGAAUGCUGAAAGAAAAGGGAAAUGAACACCAUUUUCAGGCAGCUUCUCCAAGUUUUUUUGACAGUGUUAUAAUUUUCCUUUAGCGACUGUUGAAGCAAAUAUCUGUAUUUAUGUUCAGAUUAAACCGAGAGAGCAAAGACUGCUAAAGCCAGUAAUUUCUGGGCUGCAAAUGCAGGAUAGCUCCAGUGAAUUUCAGAUUCUUAAAGGUUUUUGCUGUAGCGAAUUCAUGACACAAAGCAUUUGGAGGGAAACCUAUUAGAGAAGAAACACAUCCUAAAUGAGAAUUACUGAGGACGGGAGGCUCUUGUCAUUUAUUGGAUUAGUUAUAGCACUUUACACAAGCCUGUAAUAUUUGUUCUGCUGCUGUGGUGUGACUGGUAAAAUGAAAAGGUAUGUCAAGGGAGUGCUUGACUGACGUUCUUAUUUCUUCCGUCUUCUUAUAUUGCUGGGAGGAUUCUACCACUGCAGGGCUAGAAAUUAAUAUCACACUCAUUUGAUAGGAAGAGCAAAAGCAAGGUUAUGAGUCAGAGACAUUUUGGUCCCAGAACAAUAACUCUAUUGAUUGAGUCAAAUAUGUUUAACUCCAACAGCAAGACCUUCCAUCUGCGUGAAAUAAUCAUGUCCGUUAAUUGUAAACAGGAGCAUCUUUGAAAGCUGAGCUAGAGGCGGAGCAACUGGUAAACCAGAUGUCCCAAAUUUCUAGGUUUGUACAUUGUAAUUGUUCUAGACUUGUGUGUGGAUAUUGGUAAAAUGACAUAGUCAGAUAUCUCACAGAUUUUGUGAGAUAUGUCCAAAGUUCCCAAGUUAAUUUAUUACUAAAGUUAGAAUUUCACUUACUGUGAGAUUGGAAUGCCAGCCAGCUACUGAACCUUAUGUGUGCCUAGGGGCCAUUUUGAGACAAUUUGCUGAAUAUUAAAAGUACAACCAAUAAUGUUUCUCUCCACAUCCACAAUAGCGCUUAGAGGAAGCAUCUGGGAUUGAGCCAUCUCACAUCUGUCUAAUCACAUUCAUUCAAAUGUGAUGGGCCCAACUGGCCUACGUACAUGGCUGCAUAUCACCAUGGGUGGAAAUUAAAUCAGAAUUUGGCUCAGGAGAGAGAUGAAGAGAAAAUGCACGUAGAUAAUUGGCUCAGAUAACAUUCUGUUUCUGGAAGUCACAAAGAGUGGAAAUUGGAAUAUGUAAAUUAAAGAAAAACAGGUAAGAAUUCACAUGAACCCCAACCACACACCCUGUGUAUGUUCUCAUUCUCAUUCUCUCUAUGGUGCCUGUGAGCAGUUGGAGUUUGAAUUUUUCAGUCAGUAAGGUUUGCUGUUUAUUCGAGGGCUGCUCCUAAAAAAUAAUCAGGUCUAGUCAAGAAUAUAGAAAAGUGAAAUUAUGCAUAUUUUCCUGGGGAAUAUAAUAGAUGUUCUCAUAGUCUUACAAUGUAAAAAAAAUGAAGGUAAGACUCUAGCUCCCUUUCUUCUAUCUUUCUGGCCUCAUUUUAGGCUAAUAUUUUCUUUUGCAACCAUAUACCAAAUUAUUACAUAUGGAAGCUGUGAAACUGAAGGUUCUGUAAAACUUUAAAGCCAGAGAACUUAUGACUCCUCCAUAUAGGAAGAGAAAUGGGAGAAUAUUAGGCUGUUUUUAAUACUGGGCAUCUGGUAUUUUUCAGUCCUUAAGAUCAAGUCCGCAAUGGAAGAAGAGCAUUCAUCUGGUACAGGUUGAUGAUUGUGUAAGCCCAAGGAGUGAUGUCAACACUGGGGUUCACCUGAGAACAUGGACAUGGUUGAUGAGGGUUUAGGAGAUGCUCAUACGAAGUCUUCAUAUGUUCCCUGGAUCCCAGCUCUGCCUUCCCACCAGAGAGGAUGUAAUUCAGCCGAGAUGCCCAGAGUCAGCUCUCUGCUCAUAUCUGUUCCGCACUGAAGCCAAUCAUCUGAGAAACCUAAGAAGUGUUUAAUGUAGUUAGGAAAGUGAGGGAUGAAGACCAUAAAUUCCUUUUCAUGUAGCAGAGUAUAUAUGUGAUACUCAUUCUGUGGUAUUUGGGGCAUAAACAAGAGUCGAUGAAGGAAUGUGAAAGUACUCGAAAUCCUGACUUUUAUCUCUAUAAAAAUGGCAUAGGGAUGAAACACACUUGGUUGUUAUGACUGUACUCUUUUCAGAUUUACUACUUGCCUUUCUACUGAUUUUUCUGUGCCACAGGUCUUGACUCCUGUAGGCUAAAUUUCUCAGCCUCUUCUGCUCACUGAUAUAUGGGAAGGUUUGGCCAAAGGUGGGUGACUGGUGGGGAGAAGGAUGAGGGAAUUCAGGGGAUUGCUGAGCCCAUUCUCUAGACAGUGCUGCUGGCACUGGCUCUGUCUUCUCCGUUUCCAUCUCGCAUCAGACGGUUCUUCCCUCUAUGGGCCUAGUCCUACCUAGACACUUUCCAGUUGGAUUCCAGUUCUGGGGAUGCUCCCUCCUGCAGGGAUCUAAGUCCUUCCCAU